CCCGCGGGUACGGUCGGAACUUUCGGGAUUUACGCGUAAAUUUUCAGAGCUCGUAUAAAACGGAAAAUUAACGGCAAACGCAAACGGCGACCAGCGAACGGUCGAGUGUGUAUACAAAACAGUGCGAUGCGGUUUGUGCUGCUGUCCUGUGCUGCACAAAUGGCAUUUAGUGAAUGAGAAAUUGCUGGUGGCCAUAGUGUGUGUUUGCGUGUUCCUUUAAUUGUUUUGCAAUUGCGAAAGGAAACGCCAAAUUCUCAUCUCGAUUGCAGUGCACCAGAAAAAUUCUGAUUCUGUUUCUGAAAAAGUGUGCUUGUGCGAAAAGAAGGAAAGCCCAAAUUUCGUGUGUGCACCCGCAGUGCAAAACAAAAAAAAAACGUGAAUUGUCUCCCGAAAAAAAUUAAACAAAAAAGGCAGCUAAAUGCUUCAAAGUGCAAGUCUAAAAGCAGCGCCUACAAAAUAAAAAAAGAAAAACGAAAAAUUGCUGCCAGGACACGCUCAGCGCUUUGGGCGUAGGGUACGAUAUAAAGUGGACUUUGUGGACGAGUUGCGCUAGUCUGGAUGAUGGUAGUGGUGGUGCACUCGCCAUACAUACAUACUUAGUUGCGAUCUCAAUGCAUUCAUUUCGCUUGGCAAACUCGCUUUUGGGCACCGGCAAACACAGCGUUUCCGCGAGUCAGUGCGUGCGAAUCGUACCGUCUACAAAAAAGUGCUUCGGUGUGUCGCGUUGUGAACGCGCGCGUGUGUGUGUGUACGUGUGCGGAGAGUGAUUGUGCUGCUGGUUACGGUUAAAACCCAGUUCAAAAUCUAAUUGAAUGUUAGUUUGAAUAGCAAAAAAAAAGGUGUGAUCCCAACUAAUCGGGCAAAGCAGCAAAUGGAAGCGAAGAAAAGCUGGGAAGUGCAAAUCCAAGCAAAAAAAUUAUUGACACCUUCGAAACUGCCGAAUUUCAAUACUUACAAAGUCUAGAUAGCAAAUACCAACUGCUAAUUGCAUGCCACUAUUAAAGCUAACUUUUACAACAACAACAACAACUAUUUUAGCGCUGCAUAGCCAUCAACCAGUCUUCACCUCAAUUCUUCCAACUCGCCAAUGAAAUACAAUUUUAAUAUAAAAAUAUUCUACUUAAUCGAGACGCUUAGUCUUUCAUGUGCGCCACAAGGAGCUAUGAGACAACAUGCCAAGAAAGUGUGCCAAAAUUAUAGCUGAAUAAUAAAAGAUUUCAAAUGAGAAAAGGAAAUAAUAUGAAAUCCAAUAUCGUCGAAAAUAUUGCACGCAUUAAAAAUAUGCAAAUUUAAAAAAGCAGUAACCCACAAAAUUCUGUCAUAAUAUUUACUGCUCUAUAAAUUUACGAAUAAAUAUAAAAUCUAGCAAUAAAUCUAAUCAAUCAAGCAAACACACUCGAAUACAAAAACAACUACAAAUUUAAAUCCCAAUCAGUAUAUUUCAACGUCGCUAAAAUGUCUCUUCAAUUGUCCACUCCCUUCUGGCUACUCUUCAUUGCUCUGAUCUGCAUCCUCAACAGCCACUGUACGCACUCGUCGCGUGCACGCACCAGCCCGUCGACUAUGACACGGAACAUCGAGGAAGAAAAUGUUCGAUAUCUCUUGGAAGG